rnacentral:rRNA from 1 species
ACUCCUACGGGAGGCAGCAGUGGGGAAUAUUGCACAAUGGGCGCAAGCCUGAUGCAGCCAUGCCGCGUGUAUGAAGAAGGCCUUCGGGUUGUAAAGUACUUUCAGCGGGGAGGAAGGUGUUGAGGUUAAUAACCUCAGCAAUUGACGUUACCCGCAGAAGAAGCACCGGCUAACUCCGUGCCAGCAGCCGCGGUAAUACGGAGGGUGCAAGCGUUAAUCGGAAUUACUGGGCGUAAAGCGCACGCAGGCGGUCUGUCAAGUCGGAUGUGAAAUCCCCGGGCUCAACCUGGGAACUGCAUUCGAAACUGGCAGGCUAGAGUCUUGUAGAGGGGGGUAGAAUUCCAGGUGUAGCGGUGAAAUGCGUAGAGAUCUGGAGGAAUACCGGUGGCGAAGGCGGCCCCCUGGACAAAGACUGACGCUCAGGUGCGAAAGCGUGGGGAGCAAACAGGAUUAGAUACCCCAGUAGUCCCAU